CCUACGGGAGGCAGCAGUGAGGAAUAUUGGUCAAUGGGCGGAAGCCUGAACCAGCCAAGUAGCGUGCAGGAUGACGGCCCUACGGGUUGUAAACUGCUUUUAUACGGGAAUAACGCGCCUUACGUGUAGGGCUUUGCAUGUACCGUAUGAAUAAGGACCGGCUAAUUCCGUGCCAGCAGCCGCGGUAAUACGGGAGGUCCGGGCGUUAUCCGGAUUUAUUGGGUUUAAGGGGAGCGUAGGCCGCAUGUCAAGCGUGCUGUGAAAUGUCCGGGCUCAACCCGGGCCUUGCAGCGCGAACUGGCGGGCUUGAGUCCGCGGAAGGCAGGCGGAAUUCGUCGUGUAGCGGUGAAAUGCGUAGAUAUGACGAAGAACCCCGAUGGCGAAGGCAGAUUGCUGGAGCGGAACUGACGCUGAUGCUCGAAAGCGAGGGUAUCGAACAGGAUUAGAUACCCUUGUAGUC
rnacentral:rRNA from 1 species